rnacentral:rRNA from 1 species
CGGGGGAUCGCAAGACCUCGCGCGAUUGGAGCGGCCGAUAUCGGAUUAGCUAGUUGGUGAGGUAAAGGCUCACCAAGGCGACGAUCCGUAGCUGGUCUGAGAGGACGACCAGCCACACUGGAACUGAGACACGGUCCAGACUCCUACGGGAGGCAGCAGUGGGGAAUUUUUGGACAAGUGGGGGCAACCCUGAUCCAGCCAUUCCGCGUGAGUGAAGAAGGCCGUUCGGGUUGUAAAGCUCUUUCGGCAGGAAACGAAACGGCUCUCUCUAACAUAGGGGGCUAAUGACGGUACCUGAAGAAGAAGCACCGGCUAACUACGUG